CUGGGGGGGGGCGGGGGCGGUGCCGCAGCCUCUGGGUAUCGGAAGCAUGGAGGCCUGGGAGCAACCCUGGGAGCGGCAUCCCGCGGCCAUUGUUGGGGGAGACCCUCCCUCAGAGGGCAACCCCGUCAACGUCGCAGUCCCUCAGAAGUGAAGCGUCGGGAAACACAGCCACAUCCGAGGUUUGAAACCUUUCAUAAUAACAGCCUAGAGGGAAGAAAAAUCUAUCCAUCGAAAAGCCACCAACCAACCAACUGCCCAAACAACUGAUGAAUCAGCCAAUGAUGUGGUGUUUCCCCAGCUUUACUCAUCUGGAUACUCCCUGCCUAUUAUUUAUUUCAUAAUUUACCUGAACUCGACUCACUUUUAAAACAUGUAGUCUACGUUCACCUCAUCCUGAGUAAUAAUAUCUGUGAAGUGA